CUGGGGGAAGCAGUAAUGGAGUAAAGGAGACUUGAAGAUAAGGAAAAGGAGUGGAUGCUUGUACCGAUAGUUGGACAUAUUGAGGUACAUAGGGAAUGGAUAGAGUAGCAUCUUGACUAGCUCAUAGACAGGAGUGAUAGCUUAUCCUGAGCAGAAGAUGGAAAAUGUGCCAAGGCAUCAAGCUGAUUGUUUAAAAUAAGUUUAACUUAAAAACUUAGGAAUUUCACGUUCUGUAGAGAGCCCCAAAUAUCCAAGGGAACUUUUUCCAAGUCCCUGUGGAAAUAGUGAUUUGUGAGAGAACAGGUGCCCUAUGAGCUUCCCUGGUGGUCCGUUAUAGACACAGUGAGACAUAAGGAGAGUGAAACUUGCCUUUGAGGAGCCUCGAGAGAGUUGUAACACUGAAGAGUAAACUCUCGACCCAUCCAUCUUCCCUCCUCUCGUCCCCUUCCUCUGUUCUCCAUCUUAGUGAAACAGCAGCAGGUACAGUAAAGAAAAAGCAAUCCUGAGCCCUCCAUGAGGGAGGGAGUGGAAAAGAACCUCGCAGAAAUAAAAGAAUGGAGUGACACAGAGCUAGCUAGUGGGCUGACGCCAGCAUCGUGUCAAAGUGACAGCAGCUGUGGCAACUAAGUGCAGGCACCAGGAGGUAGAGGGGGAAUAACAGGGAAAUGAAACCCCACCCAAACCACCCUCUGUCCGUAAGGAAGCCAGACACUUAGGGGAGCAGCGUUCUUUCUGUCCUUUUAAAGAUGUUUGGUUUUGAUGUGGACUAAUUUAAAAGUCUUUAUUGAAUUUGUUACAGUAUUGUUUCUGUUUUAUGUUUUGGUUUUUUCUCUAGGAGACAUGUGGGAAUCUUAGCUCUCUAACCAGGGAUGGAACCCACACCACCUGUGUGGAAGGGGAAGUCUUAACCCCUGGAUCGCCAGGAAGAGUCCCAGGGGCACCUUGUUCUAAGGAUCCCUUGUGGAAGAGGAAACAAGAACUGCUGAACAUUGCUAUUGACUGUUACCUAUUUUCUUUGAAUGUCCUUUCACAGGCUGAGUGGUCAAGGGGUCUUAGGGUCCAUGAUCCUGAGAAGGUUACUCUGAGCAAGAAACCUGCCUGCCAUGAGGAAUACAUGAGAUAGUGCAGGUAACACAGCUGGUUCACAGUGGGCAUGCUCAUCGACUUCAACUAUUGUUGACAUGAUUAUGACAACAAUAAGACUUACUUGGCUUUAUAUAUAUUUACAUGCAAAUAAACAUCCUGGGAGUAUGUUUUUCUAAGCUAAU
ensembl:lncRNA